GCUAAGGCAACCGGGCGGCGCCGGCGCGAGCGGGAAGGAGGCGCCCGUCGAGUUUUUACGUGCUAGCCUGCGAGACUUGAGGAGACUUCAGGCGUGGUCAUUCCUGAGCCCCACAGACCACGGCCUCUGCUCCAGUCGGUACUCCUGCCCCAGGGGGGCCAUGGGCCGGAUCUCGGGGCUCGUGCCCUCUCGCUUCCUGACGCUCCUGGCGCAUCUGGUGGUCGUCAUCACCUUGUUCUGGUCGCGGGACAGCAACAUCCACGCCUGCCUGCCUCUCACGUUCACCCCCGAGGAGUACGAGAAGCAGGACAUUCAGCUCGUGGCAGCGCUGUCCGUCACUCUGGGCCUCUUUGCAGUGGAGCUGGCCGGUUUCUUCUCAGGGGUUUCCAUGUUCAACAGCACCCAGAGCCUCAUCUCCAUUGGGGCUCACUGUAGUGCAUCUGUGGCCCUGUCCUUUUUCAUAUUCGAGCGUUGGGAGUGUACCACGUACUGGUACAUUUUCGUCUUCUGCAGUGCCCUCCCAGCUGUCACUGAAAUGGCAUUGUUCAUCAGCGUCUUUGGACUGAAAAAGAAACCUUUCUGAGACCUUCGUGACGGGAACACAGGGAUGACGGUUCGAGGAACACGGGACCACUCACCAUUCCAGGACCGAGGAAGGCAGUCUUCAGCCCUCAAAUUGCAUUUGAUGGAGGAUGUCGGUGUUAGGGAUUUUCACUGCUGGGAGGUAGUCCUGCAUGUGGGUGAGAUGGGAACGUGCCAGUUAUCCCUUACGGCUUUGCUGGAGUCGCAAACGUGUGACCGUCAACAGGAGACCGGUCGAGUCGCGUUAACAGCGUAACCCUGGGCAGCCGGGAAAGAAACAAUCUCCAAGAUUGUGACAAAAGGACUUUGUGGAAUGGCUCCUGUCGUUUGCUCCCAUUUGUGUAAAAAGUGGGAAAGCACAGACCGGCCCGUGGGAAAACCAUCUCUGGAAGGAGCCAAGACAAACCCUAACAUUCCUGAAGGAUGUGAGCCUGCGGUUGCCGGUGCCCCCCAUCUGGAAAUGAAGCCAAGUCGGAGUCCCGCAAAGCUAGAAACAGAGACAGCAGAUUCCCCGAUGAUGUCACGGGAGUGCCUGGGUCCUGCUAUUUCCAGCUCCUGGUGUCAGCACAGUGCCCGGCAUCGGAGAACGAAGGAGCCCUCGUUUCACGGAUGAGGAACACGGGGCCCCAGGAGAAAGCCAUUUGCCUCACGCAAAUAUGGAGAGCUGGGGCUAGAUAGGUCCCAAGUUUCCUGGCUGUCAGGCCAAAUCAGUCGCUCGAUUCAACAAGUCUUCAUUGAAUAUCUCCCACCUGCCAGGCUCCGGACAUGGCAUGUGAGACCGAAGGAAAUAAGGAUGAUGUGGCCCCUUGCCAACCACACAUACAGUCGGGACCCCCCUUCCCCCCAACAGAGGAACUUAUUAACCCCGGUGAGCCUCUAAGGAAUUGAGGGUUGCAGAGUCCGGAUGUGCGACCAGGAGGCCUCCCAGGCUCCCAGUCCCAGAAGACUGGGAUCUGCCUGUGUCUCGUCUUCCCCACACCAGGCUCUGGCGUAUGGCCUCCCCACCACCCAAGCCCACGCUGCUCUGUUUCCCAGAGGCAGGAGGCCCGGGCCUGUCCUGCUGCGGUGACAGGAGCCAGCUCCCUGGCCACACUGGUCACAGAUGAUCGGAGCUUCAUCAGCUCAAACAGGGCUGUCCUCACAGGAACGGUGGGCACACAGGCCCUGCCCGAACCCAUUCUUCCCAAACAGGAGCCUGGCGUUCACCAUUAGCGGUCCAUUUGCCUGCUGUGCUGUUUGUCUUUUAAAACACUCCUCACUGAAACUAUAGUUCACCAUCAUUCAUUCAUUAUUCAUUGGCCUGCCUUGUUUCUGGCACUGUGCUUGGGACUCAUGCAGGGAGAAUAGAUUAAAAAGGUACCGCUUUGUGUAUAUAUAUUGUUUUAUACACACACACAAA